UACGUAGGGUGCAAGCGUUGUCCGGAAUUAUUGGGCGUAAAGAGCUCGUAGGUGGCCUGUCGCGUCGGCUGUGAAAACUCGGGGCUCAACUCCGAGCUUGCAGUCGAUACGGGCAGGCUAGAGUUCGGCAGGGGAGACUGGAAUUCCUGGUGUAGCGGUGAAAUGCGCAGAUAUCAGGAGGAACACCGGUGGCGAAGGCGGGUCUCUGGGCCGAUACUGACACUGACGCUCAUGCACGAAAGCGUGGGGAGCAAACAGG
rnacentral:rRNA from 1 species